AUGCCAAAUCUUAUAGACAAUAGAAAAAGAACUAUUUCUCAUGUGCUAAAUAUUUAGAGGUAAAUUAGCAGCAUGACUAAUUUAGUUAUUGCUGUCAGUCACCUUCAGAUAAGU
rnacentral:snoRNA from 1 species